ensembl:snoRNA Gm23301 small nucleolar RNA SNORD58
CUGCAGUGAUGGUUAUCUUAGGACACCUUUGGAUUUACCGUGAAAAUAAGUAAAAUCUGAGCGGC